ACCUGAAACCGUGUACGUACAAGCAGUGGGAGCACCCUUUGGGGUGUGACUGCGUACCUUUUGUAUAAUGGGUCAGCGACUUAUAUUCUGUAGCAAGGUUAACCGUAUAGGGGAGCCGGAGGGAAACCGAGUCUUAACCGGGCGUUAAGUUGCAGGGUAUAGACCCGAAACCCGGUGAUCUAGCCAUGGGCAGGUUGAAGGUUGGGUAACACUAACUGGAGGACCGAACCGACUAAUGUUGAAAAAUUAGCGGAUGACCUGUGGCUGGGGGUGAAAGGCCAAUCAAACCGGGAGAUAGCUGGUUCUCCCCGAAAGCUAUUUAGGUAGCGCCUCGUGAAUUCAUCUCCGGGGGUAGAGCACUGUUUCGGCUAGGGGGCCAUCCCGGCUUACCAACCCGAUGCAAACUGCGAAUACCGGAGAAUGUUAUCACGGGAGACACACGGCGGGUGCUAACGUCCGUCGUGAAGAGGGAAACAACCCAGACCGCCAGCUAAGGUCCCAAAGUCAUGGUUAAGUGGGAAACGAUGUGGGAAGGCCCAGACAGCCAGGAUGUUGGCUUAGAAGCAGCCAUCAUUUAAAGAAAGCGUAAUAGCUCACUGGUCGAGUCGGCCUGCGCGGAAGAUGUAACGGGGCUAAACCAUGCACCGAAGCUGCGGCAGCGACGCUGAUGCGUUGUUGGGUAGGGGAGCGUUCUGUAAGCCUGCGAAGGUGGCCUGUGAGGGUUGCUGGAGGUAUCAGAAGUGCGAAUGCUGACAUAAGUAACGAUAAAGCGGGUGAAAAGCCCGCUCGCCGGAAGACCAAGGGUUCCUGUCCAACGUUAAUCGGGGCAGGGUGAGUCGACCCCUAAGGCGAGGCCGAAAGGCGUAGUCGAUGGGAAACGGGUUAAUAUUCCCGUACUUGGUGUUACUGCGAAGGGGGGACGGAGAAGGCUAUGUUGGCCGGGCGACGGUU
rnacentral:rRNA from 1 species